ACGUUACCGUUUCGCUCCGCCUUCGGCCGCUUUCUCCCGAUUUCCCUCUACUCCUCCUUCCAAAUCCGCUGUUAACUCCAACUUAUCCUAAAUUUGGGAGCCAUGGUGGAUUUGAGGCUCACGAGAGGCUUCAUCUUCUUCGAAUUGGAACCCUAGCGAUCUCCCCUUGAUCCCAAAAGGUGAAGUUUUGUUGGGUUCGGGGGUUACUGGCAUUGUCUUGGUGCAUUAGGAAUCGGGUGGUGGGAUAUAUGGAAUGGAUCUGCGUGUGGCGUCUGUGGCAUGCGUUCGUUGACUGCGGCAAAAUUCGAAAUCCACCCAUCAGAUAGCAGGAGGAGGAGGAGGUGACUGCAGAGGUUCUAGGGCGAAAACAAAGAAGAAACAAGGAUGGGAGAAGAUCUCCUCACCACCUUAUCCAUGGAAAACCAUCACCCAUCCACGCUCCUCUCCAUGGAUCCAUCUGGAGGCCUUUUACUGUCUUCGUCACACGAGGACUCCGACCGUGAGCUCUUGAUCCAGCGGCAUCAGGUUGUCCUUUCUGGUGCCCCGGACAUCAACCUCCCCCUCUCGGCCGAACGUUCUCCUUCCCAGCAAUCGUGGAAUUCAGACCCUUUUGACAUGCUGGAUGUUGGCCUUGGCCCUCAACUCUAUGAUGCAGAGGCAACCCUUCACAUCCCAAAGGUCACUGCUGCUCGCAAGUGCACCAAGCGAGGGGAUAGCAUUUGGGGGGCGUGGUUCUUCUUUAGCUUCUAUUUCAAGCCCAUUCUCUCGGAGAAAUCCAAGGGAAAGGUCAUCUGGGAUGAAAAUGGGGUUAGUGGCUUUGACAAGUCUGAUGUUCGCCACGAUGUGUUCUUGGUUCAGCAUGACAUGGAGAACAUGUACAUGUGGAUUUUCAAAGAGAGGCCAGAGAAUGCACUUGGGAAGAUGCAACUGCGGAGCUAUAUGAAUGGGCACUCUCGUCUUGGUGAGCCACAAUUCCCAAUCAGUGUUGACAGGGGUUUUGUUCGGUCCCACAGGAUGCAGCGCAAGCAGUAUCGGGGACUGUCGAAUCCACAAUGUGUCCAUGGAAUUGAGGUCAUCAGGUGUCCUAAUCUAAUGGUUGUUUGUGAGUUGGACCGCAAAAAGUGGGUGGAGCUCACGGGCAGGGAUCUUAAUUUUUCAAUCCCUCUUGAAGCCAGUGAUUUUGAGUUGUGGAGGAAUCUAACCAACACUGAAUUUGAAAUUGAGAGGCCUCCAUUGAAGAACAUUUCGCAUCCCCAUCCUAAAAAGUCACUUAAUGUUUCGAGUUUGAAUUUAUCUUCACAGUCAAAUCAUUCUAAUGGUGAUGGGAUGGACCUUUGUCCUGUUUGCAGUAAACGCAGGAAGGAUUUCUUCCCUCAUGUUAUGCAUGAGGAUUUCUGCCUUCCUGCAAAUCCCCAUGCUGAAAGAGGUCAAGAUGUGGAGAUGCACGAAGUCGAGCCAUCAUGGUUGAACGAAUUCACUGGUGUUAUGAAGCAUGCAUAUGGACCUGUAACUGCUGCAAAGACAAUAUAUGAAGAUGAUGAGGGGUACUUGAUAAUGGUGAGCUUGCCAUUUGCUGAUCAACAAAGAGUGAAAGUUUCUUGGAGGAACAAUCUUACACAUGGAAUUUUGAAGAUAAUUUGUGUCAGCACUGCCCGAAUGCCUUACAUAAAGAGGCAUGACAGGACUUUCAAACUAACUGACCCUUCCCCUGAGCAUUGUCCUCCAGGGGAAUUUAUAAGGGAAAUAGCACUACCGACACGUAUCCCUGAAGAUGCCAACCUGGAAGCAUACUAUGAUGAAACUGGUGCUUUGCUUGAGAUUAUGGUUCCAAAACAUCGAGUUGGACCAGAAGAACAUGAAGUUCAUGUGUGCAUGCGCCCCCCUCACCUUGGGGCUAAUGAUCUUCUGUUGACCUGAAUAAGUGGUGACACCAUGUGUGCAGCUGGAUGCAUGAUGGAGAAGAUAUACUAGUCGGUUUGGGAUCAAAAGGAUGAUAUAUGAAUCAGUAUUUUCCAGACAAUGGGAAAAGAGGCCACAGCCACCAACAGCAAGUUUGGAGCUUCUGUUUAUAUUCACCAGCAUUUAUUAGCUUACACUAUGAAGUGAUCUUGCUGUAAGUCCUUCACACCCUGCACUUUUGUUUCGGUUUACAUCUUGGUGUUUCUUUUUUCGAUCCAACCUGUGCAGGAUUGUCUUCGCCAUGAACGAGACGGUGGCAUUUACUCCCUCUUAUAGAUGUGUGCUUUGGUCUUCAAGAUUUUAAACGGAGCCACCUUCUUCCCCGAGCCCAUACAACUCUGCUUCGAUUUUGCCCACAACAAGAUCAUGUUCUGCUGUCACCUAGUUUUCUUCUUGUAAUUGGCUGUGUGUGCUGCAGAUGUUCGGAUACAUGGUGGUCGUGGCAGAUGUAUCGGAAAGAAAUGAUCCAUAUAGCGGCGGCGGAUCAUGUUUGGACUUUGAUCAACAGAAACAUGCCCACACAUGAAGACAAGGUAGGUUGGCUUGUUUCCUUGUUUCAUGAAGUAAAUUGCUGCAGUCGUGGUGCUUGACGACGACAGCUUACCCGUGCUCGGUGCACCCACUGUCAAGGAAGGGCAAGAAGAGUGGGAGAAACGCAGCUUUCAUGGGCAAAGGGAAAAGCCAACACAGAUUCCUCUCGUUGCCUUCAGCAUAUGAGCUGGUCGUUUGGAAUCUACUCAGCUAGUAAACACAAUACUCAGAUCAGUCUAAGACGGAAAAAACUCCUUUUCAUGCAUGCUCAGAUCAGUCUAUUAUAAAACCUUUUCUCAGAUGGAUUUGAUGAGGUCAGACUUGGAUUAUUCAUUUCAUCCAUUCGACAUGUCUUCGAAUCGAGACAAUUGUUGAAAAAGCUUCGUUUCCAAAUGUAACUUUUUAUUUUGAUUAUGUGAUAUUUGAAGUGAUCAAACUGUAAUGGACUUGGUGGAAUUUGGAAUCUUAUAUUGCUUAUCAUUACAAA